AACCAGUUGUAAACUAUAGCAAGCAAGCCUGCGGGCGGCUUCGGCUGCUCGUGGGUAACAUGGAUAACCCUGGUAAUUCUGAGGCUAAUACAAGAACGUACUCCCUGGCUGACCGGCAACGGAAGGCUGGGGAGCGUGCAACGUAUCGUAGGGAUAAACCGGGAAUGGGUGCACGCUUGGACCGCGCUAAAGACAGAUCUCGGCGAGCCUUCGGGUGAGCCUUGGCCUGAGCGGCUCUUGCUGUGUGCUUCUGACCUAUCAACUAGACGGCAGCGUAAGGGACAUGCUAUGGUUACAACGGGUACAGAGGAUUAGGGUUCGAUCCUGGAGAGUGGGCCUGAGAGAUU
rnacentral:rRNA from 1 species